rnacentral:other from 1 species
AACCGCCUGCCCUGUGCGCGAAGGUCGCCGCAUUAUGACCCGAACACUCUUUUAAAGGGGUCCAGAUCCGGCCGUGGGCACUGCAGACCUCCCGCUACGGCGGACGAAGGGAGCACGAAGCGGCUGGGAGGACACCCACCUGCUGUUUGGCAGGUUAUGAUUGGGGCGAUCAUACGGCAGGGCGGGUCCCAU